UUUAGUUAGCAAGGGCUGUCUACUGACUGGCUUUCUUGUGCAGUCCAGGGAGACACCAUGUGGGAGGAUCCAUGGUAAGGUGCCCAUGAGGAAACCCUCAGUGGUGGAGAUAAGGUUACCCAAUGUCCCCAGGACAGUGCAGAGCGACAGCAUAUGCCUCCUCAAUAGCAAUCUUGAUGAUACAGCCAACGGUCUCUGUUUUCUCAUGAUUGCACGGGCCAAGGGAUCCUUCACAAUAGAGGAUUAGUGAUGUGGGCAAGAAAGACCCUAAAACAACCAGGGAGGAAUCUCAGAAGUUAGGCCUAACUGGGCACAGGAAGGUUUAAGCCUAAGAAGAGCCUGAGUCAGCCAAGGUGAGCUGAGCAGGAAACUCAGCUGCAAGCCUGGUUCUGGAAGUUCUGAGGGAUCACUUUCUUCUACCUGAAACUGGAGGUCUGGCUUCCUGUUUCUGAACAAUGGAAGGACUCCACAGUGCUGCAUCUGUUUCUUCUGUGGAGACUAGGAGGAUGGAUCCAAGGUCACACCCAGUGCUGCUGCCCCACCAUACAGCCUCGGCAGCAGUCCUCAUCUGCUGGGCUCGGGCUUACACUAUCCUGAAAGGUGCCAGACGUUGCUGUUGACAAAUGCACCAGGGCCUCAGUGCUCUUCCUUGCCAGUCUGUAGGCAUCUGUUCAAAGCGACCCCUCGGCUGGUAAGGUCAAGGAUUUGAACACAGGGCUGUCAAGGUGAGUCCUUGAUCAGGGUGAUGUGUUGAAGACAGAAACACAUAUGAGUCUAUCCUUGCUCUUGAGCCAUCCCUGCUGAAGCCCAAGGGCUGCCCCAACCUGCUUAAAAGCCUCUUUGAAGACUGCCUCUUUUCUCAGUUCAGCCUUGAGCCCAGUGCAAGACCACUGGGCCUUGGGACACGGGAAUAUUGCCAUCGGGGAGGGAGAGUGUGCUGUUAUGAAGCAAGAGCAGACCACAUGCUUAGUCCCUUCAGCGUGCUCCCGUUUCCUUCCCUGCUUCUGAAUCAAAGGGUCAUAGCCCCAGAAAUCCUUAAGGAGAGACCAAACAGUUGAGGUCGCUUAGUCUUGGGUCAGCCAGUUCCUCUCUGUUAGCCUCCAACAUUAUGA
rnacentral:lncRNA from 1 species